rnacentral:rRNA from 1 species
UGGGGAAUUUUGGACAAUGGGCGAAAGCCUGAUCCAGCAAUGCCGCGUGUGUGAAGAAGGCCUUCGGGUUGUAAAGCACUUUUGUCCGGAAAGAAAUCCUUGGCUCUAAUACAGUCGGGGGAUGACGGUACCGGAAGAAUAAGCACCGGCUAACUACGUGCCAGCAGCCGCGGUAAUACGUAGGGUGCAAGCGUUAAUCGGAAUUACUGGGCGUAAAGCGUGCGCAGGCGGUUUGCUAAGACCGAUGUGAAAUCCCCGGGCUCAACCUGGGAACUGCAUUGGUGACUGGCAGGCUAGAGUAUGGCAGAGGGGGGUAGAAUUCCACGUGUAGCAGUGAAAUGCGUAGAGAUGUGGAGGAAUACCGAUGGCGAAGGCAGCCCCCUGGGCCAAUACUGACGCUCAUGCACGAAAGCGUGGGGAGCAAACAGGAUUAGAUACCCUGGUAGUCCAGCGCCCUAAACGAUGUCAACUAGUUGUUGGGAUUCAUUCCUUAGUAACGUAGCUAACGCGUGAAGUUGACCGCCUGGGGAGUACGGUCGCAAGAUU